rnacentral:rRNA from 1 species
CCUACGGGCGACUGCAGUGGGGAAUAUUGCACAAUGGGGGAAACCCUGAUGCAGCAACGCCGCGUGAAGGAAGACGGUUUUCGGAUUGUAAACUUCUGUUCUUAGUGAAGAAUAAUGACGGUAGCUAAGGAGCAAGCCACGGCUAACUACUUGCCAGCAGCCGCGGCAAUACUUAGGUGGCAGGCGUUGUCCGGAAUUCGUGGGUGGAAAGGGAGCGCAGGCGGGAAGCCAAGUCAGCUGUGAAAACUACGGGCUUAACUUGUAGACUGCAGUUGAAACUGGUAUUCUUGAGUGAAGUAGAGGUUGGCGGAAUUCCGAGUGUAGCGGUGAAAUGCGUAGAGAUUCGGAGGAACACCGGUGGCGAAGGCGGCCACCUGGGCUUUAACUGACGCUGAGGCUCGAAAGUGUGGGGAGCAAACAGGAUUAGAUACCCCAGUAGUC